rfam:Asian citrus Psyllid, Diaphorina citri - Florida Strain, whole genome shotgun sequence.
AUCAGCGACAAUAUCACGUUGAAUGCACUAGUUCCUCACGGAUAGCUGUUAAGCAACGUUACGUGUGGUUGAUAUCUGAAUGGGUGACCGGCUGAGCAAACACGUGCUGCUGACU